rnacentral:rRNA from 1 species
GCUCGAUGAGUAGGGCGGGACACGUGGUAUCCUGUCUGAAUAUGGGGGGACCAUCCUCCAAGGCUAAAUACUCCUGACUGACCGAUAGUGAACCAGUACCGUGAGGGAAAGGCGAAAAGAACCCCGGCGAGGGGAGUGAAAAAGAACCUGAAACCGUGUACGUACAAGCAGUGGGAGCACGCUUAGGCGUGUGACUGCGUACCUUUUGUAUAAUGGGUCAGCGACUUAUAUUCUGUAGCAAGGUUAACCGAAUAGGGGAGCCGAAGGGAAACCGAGUCUUAACUGGGCGUUAAGUUGCAGGGUAUAGACCCGAAACCCGGUGAUCUAGCCAUGGGCAGGUUGAAGGUUGGGUAACACUAACUGGAGGACCGAACCGACUAAUGUUGAAAAAUUAGCGGAUGACUUGUGGCUGGGGGUGAAAGGCCAAUCAAACCGGGAGAUAGCUGGUUCUCCCCGAAAGCUAUUUAGGUAGCGCCUCGUGAAUUCAUCUCCGGGGGUAG